ncrna:unclassified sequences DTF3800-XI RNA
UGGGCUGGUCGUAAGACCCAGGUUCAACCUAAUUAGGCGGGGAGACUCCCC